UCCGCCCUGGGACUCCGAGGAGUGAGGUAUUCCCGGCGGCGUCAUGCGUCCGGAAAAGGCCCUGUCUUGGUACCGGCGCAUGUCUAUGCUGUACGGACUGGGCGCCUGGACCCUGCUGGGCUCCUUGUUUUUGUAUAAUCAGAGAAAGAGCAAGCCUCCAGGUGGUGAAGUAGAACAAAAGGAUGUCUCAACAAAUGAACUGUCUGAACCCCCGAAAGGGUUUUAUGUGGAAACGGUUGUCACAUAUAGAGACAAUUUUGUUCCAAUUACUACCAGGAUCGUCAACUAUUUGAAAUCAUGGACUGGUGGUCCUGGACCAAAAUGAUGGACGGCUGAAUUCUGAAAACAGGACUUUGGUUCAGCAUAUAAAUUUGAGAGAUACUGUGGUUUCCACUUUCUCUUUGUGAAAAGUGUAUACAUUUAAUUUUGCUGUAAAAUAGAAUCACUAAUAAUAUGCAAUAAAUAUUUCCUUGAAGAAAAGUAAAUUUGCAUAUUCAGGAGGUGUCCUUCUAUACUCACAGGAGUAAAAGAUUGAAGUGAAAUGUCGUGUUGAGCUUCCAUAAGCUUGGUUUUCUGAAAUUAGUUCAUGUAACUUUAUAUUCUUUUCAUGUUGCUGUCAGACAUAGCUUUUGUGGUCCCUUUAAGCAAAUCUCCGUGUUCAGUUUGGGACUUAGAGCAGCCCUUUGGGCACUAGUGGGUGCUUGGUAAGUGUGUUGUGAAUUAUAACUCCUGGAUUAAAUAGACUCGAUCUGUUCUUUAGGAGCUGUACAGAUACCCUCAUUCUUUCAGCAGGAGUGGAUUAAACCCCAAUGGUGGCUACCAGUAUUCUAGAGAUAGGGGAUACAAAGUGAGGACAGCGGGGUUCCUGCCCUUGAGUGCUGCAGUGUUCUCUCCACUGGUCUCCUUUGGUUGCAAGUAACAAACCUACAUAAGUGCGAUUAAAUCAGAAAGAGAUGUUUAUUAAAAAUGUGUGUGGACAGGGAAUUACCUGGUGGUCCAAUGGUUAGGACUCGGUGCUUUUGCUGCUGUGGGUGUGGGUGCAAUCCCAGGUCGGGGGACUAAGAUCCCACAAGCUGUGCAGCGUGGCCAAAAAAAAAAAAACCAGUAUAGACAGCUCAGAAUUCAAACAGAGUAUGUUGAGGUCUUCGGAGGGCCUGGCAGCAGGAACUGGAAUGUAGCCACUCACUGAGCCUGCCUGGGGACUGUCUGCCUUGUUGCCUUUCUCACUGCACACGUUUUGUCCCCGUUAUUUCUGUAGUAACAUCACUUUGCAGCUACAGUGUCAAAGUCUGAUCAGCUUCUUCCCAAGCCAGAGUUUGUCUUCCACUCCUGUGAGAGUCACUUCCCUGUGUAUUGGCUCCUUUCCUGUGGAUCACUGAGUCCUGCCUCAGUUAGUGCAGUUGGAACACGGUCUGUUCAGAAGUUGGGAAUCACCCAUUGAAGGAGAGUUUGUAGGAUUGGAAAUAAGUUUCCCGAAAUUCUGAGGUCUGGUAGUAUUUAGAGGGAGUGGGUUUUCUUUUUCUUUUUUUUAAGAUGUAUGUAUCUCCGGGGCGUGCGCCCCCUUCCUGACAUCCGUCCAGCUGGAGGAGCCAUUGGGGACCAUUCAGAUGAAAAGGACUCCUGAGAGAUAGUGGAGCAACAAGAGAAGAGGAAUUGGGUUUUCCGGCCCUGUGGAGUACCACACAGCCCAGGGCUUUAGAGAGAAAGAAUCAACUUCUACGUAGUUGAAGCCAUUGUGACUUUGGGUCUCUGCUACAGUUGAUGUAACUCUAACCAAAUCACAUCUCCCUAUUCAUUUCUUUUUAAAAAUGGUACCUAACUUUUCAUGAU